rnacentral:rRNA from 1 species
GACGGAACCGAGCGAACGUUGUUCGGAAUCACUGGGCUUAAAGGGCGCGUAGGCGGGUGCUCAAGUCCGGGGUGAAAUCCUCCAGCUCAACUGGAGAACUGCCUCGGAUACUGGGUGCCUCGAGGGUGGUAGGGGUAUGCGGAACUAUCGGUGGAGCGGUGAAAUGCGUUGAUAUCGAUAGGAACUCCGGUGGCGAAGGCGGCAUACUGGACCACAUCUGACGCUGAGGCGCGAAAGCCAGGGGAGCAAACGGG